rnacentral:rRNA from 1 species
AGUGAACGCUGGCGGUAGGCCUAACACAUGCAAGUCGAACGGCAGCACAGUGAGAGCUUGCUCUUACGGGUGGCGAGUGGCGGACGGGUGAGGAAUACAUCGGAAUCUACUUUUUCGUGGGGGAUAACGUAGGGAAACUUACGCUAAUACCGCAUACGACCUACGGGUGAAAGCAGGGGAUCUUCGGACCUUGCGCGAUUGAAUGAGCCGAUGUCGGAUUAGCUAGUUGGCGGGGUAAAGGCCCACCAAGGCGACGAUCCGUAGCUGGUCUGAGAGGAUGAUCAGCCACACUGGAACUGAGACACGGUCCAGACUCCUACGGGAGGCAGCAGUGGGGAAUAUUGGACAAUGGGCGCAAGCCUGAUCCAGCCAUACCGCGUGGGUGAAGAAGGCCUUCGGGUUGUAAGGCCCUUUUGUUGGGAAAGAAAAGCAGCAGGUUAAUACCCCGCUGUUCUGACGGUACCCAAAGAAUAAGCACCGGCUAACUUCGUG